CAGCCGCCGCGGUAAUACGUAGGGUGCGAGCGUUAAUCGGAUUUACUGGGCGUAAAGCGUGCGCAGGCGGCCCGUUAAGACAGGUGUGAAAUCCCUGGGCUCAACCUAGGAAUUGCGCUUGUGACUGGCGGGCUCGAGUACGGUAGAGGGGGGUGGAAUUCCUGGUGUAGCAGUGAAAUGCGUAGAGUUCAGGAGGAACACCGAUGGCGAAGGCAGCCCCCUGGGCCUGUACUGACGCUCAUGCACGAAAGCGUGGGGAGCAAACAGGAUUAGAUACCCUGGUAGUCCACGCCCUAAACGAUGGGUACUAGCCGUUUGGUGCGCGAUAGCGCUGAGUGGCGAAGCUAACGCGAGAAGUACCCCGCCUGGGGAGUACGGCCGCAAGGUUGAAACUUAAAGGAAUUGGCGGG
rnacentral:rRNA from 1 species